rnacentral:rRNA from 1 species
AGAGUUUGAUCCUGGCUCAGAUUGAACGCUGGCGGAAUGCUUUACACAUGCAAGUCGAGCGGCAGCGCGGGGCAACCUGGCGGCGAGCGGCGAACGGGUGAGUAAUGCAUCGGAACAUGUCCAUGUCGUGGGGGAUAGCCCGGCGAAAGCCGGAUUAAUACCGCAUACGCCCGAGAGGGGAAAGUGGGGGACCGCAAGGCCUCACGCGAUUGGGUUGGCCGAUGUCCGAUUAGCUAGUUGGCGGGGUAAAGGCCCACCAAGGCGAUGAUCGGUAGCUGGUCUGAGAGGAUGAUCAGCCACACUGGGACUGAGACACGGCCCAGACUCCUACGGGAGGCAGCAGUGGGGAAUUUUGGACAAUGGGGGCAACCCUGAUCCAGCCAUUCCGCGUGAGUGAAGAAGGCCUUCGGGUUGUAAAGCUCUUUUGUCCGGAACGAAACGGCUAGCGUGAAUAUCGCUGGCUACUGACGUACCGGUAGAA